rnacentral:rRNA from 1 species
GACAGAGGGUGCAAACGUUGUUCGGAAUUACUGGGCGUAAAGCGCGUGUAGGCGGCAAGGCAAGUCGGAUGUGAAAGCCCGCGGCUCAACCGUGGAAGUGCACUCGAAACUGCCUAGCUAGAGUCUCGGAGAGGAAGGUGGAAUGCUUGGUGUAGAGGUGAAAUUCGUAGAUAUCAAGCAGAACACCCGUGGCGAAGGCGGCUCUCUGGGACGGUACUGACGCUGAGACGCGAAAGCGUGGGGAGCGAACAGG